ensembl:lncRNA
CUAUGGAUUCAAAUGUGUUUACAGAAGAUUUGACAGCAAAUGUCAAGUUGAAAUGGAAAAUUGUCUUAAGAUGUUUAGUGCCGGUAUUUUAUUUUUUUAAUUGUCUUGUUUGCAUGCAAGCUCUCUUAGCUUUUUGAGUCAUGCUGCCAGCUGUUCUUACGCACAACAAUCACCCAGUAUGACAUCAUCACUGGUCGCCCCUCUGAGAGCAGCGAGGGUUCCACCCAAUGUUGCAAACCAGGCUUGUGAUUUCUGGAACUAACUUCAGAUGAUUUACUUGCAUGUCCUUCAUUUUAUGUUUCCCUGAUGCUUCUUCUCAAAUAACAUUUUCUGUACAGUGUUUUAUCUGAUUGUUCACUGACUUGCGUUUGCACAGGGUGGAGGCAUCAGAAUCAUUCCUCUUGGCACUCAGAAGCCAGAUCCUUAGAAGAUAAACAAACAAGAAUACUCAGCUUUUAAAACAGGCAUUUGUCUAUCUGUCCGUGUACAAGUGGAAGUCCAUUUUCUUGCAGGCAUGUUUUUGUACAUACAGUGGUGUCUGUGUGUUCUUCUCAUCAGCCUGGAGAGGCAGGUUCAGGAUAAGGAGAUGUCGGAGAGGGAGCUGUACUCGCGUUUUGUCAUGGUGCUGAACGAGAAGAAGGCCAAGAUUCGAGGCUUGCAGGACGUUCUCCGCCAGCUCCAACAGACGGAUGACCAGCAGAGAGAGGAGGAGGGGAGACAACGUGACAAUGACACAACUCAUGGUGAGGACGGCAGCCAGGACAGAGGAGAGGAGUCCGUUCAGAGCUUCCAUCCAUCUCAGGAGCCAACUAUCCUCAUCACAGGUCGUGAUCUGGUGUGCCAGGGCAUCUCUUUGGACCGGACUUUUUCUGAUGAUGAAGAUGAACAACCGAGACGAAAGCGGAAGUUACUUCACACCCUGAGCCCAGAGUCUUGCGAGCGGGAGUAAAAUCACAGGUCAGUCAGAUAACCAACGCAAGCAAUGUAUCGCCAUAUUUGGUAUCGUAGAUGUUCCUCCUGGUGCUUUCCCUGGAUUACUUGCAUUUUUAGUUCAUGAUGCUGUUUUUUGGAGUCACAUACACUAGCAGCAUAAGGACAAAACUUGUUAUAGGAGAACCUAAAAGAUGCUAAUUUAAGAGAAAUGAAGAGAACAUUACAGUGCAGAUUUCUCAUGUAUCCAGUAUUCUUUUAGUUCAAUAAUGAGCUGUUUCAUGUGGCCCAAAACCAGAGUCUAACAACAAUGCUAGGGAAAUCAUUUCAAGCCUAGUUUUAUGGGCCUGUGAACCAUUUCUUUCUAAUUUUCCACAAAUUUCAUUCAUGUCUACAUUUUAGUUUCUGCAUUCAAACAUCUAAAAACCACCCCAGUAACAGAUGUGGGGAGGCCUACUGAAUUUUCAUCUUCCAAUCUUCCCAUUAAAGGGGGCUGAAUCAUCAAUUUGUCGUCAUCAUUGGUGUCAGAGACAAAACCACACACGCACACUUCCCAGCAUCCAACACAGUUCGUUGUGGGCUCCGCACAUAUCUACGCAAUUAAUUCGCUGGUUUUCUUCAUCUAAUAGUAUUGAUUGCAUUACUCAUCAGGGACAUACAGUACUCCUCCUGCUGCCCUGACCACAGCAAUGAUCUUAAAUGUGGACCGGGUGUCCAGAUGCUAAAAAAUAGUUGCUCUCCUGCUAAUAAACAGGUUUGGCAGAUAACAAGACAAGAAAAAAAGUAUGUUAUGACAAACUCAACAAACACAAUGAUUAUUCAUAUUAUAUCUGACAUUUCACUUCUUAUAUGCCUCUGCUUUUAACCAUUAGGAGAAGUUAAAAUAUAUUUCUACGAGUGUGAACAUGAUUUGAAUGGACUCACUGGUGGGUCUGACAGAGUUUAGGAGAUUAAUCAGCUUCUGUUAACGUUUGGAUUUUCAGAGCUGUCUCCAGAGCAUCCGGCUCAAACACACAAUGUUGUUAGAUCUGUCUACAUUCAACAGCUGCAUGUUUUCCCAUACUGUACUGACUCACUGCUAGAGCUUCUUGUGCUGCUCCUUCUUAUGACUUUAGAUGGGCUACAUUGCAUCUUGUUUAUAUGCUAGUGUUGCAAAAGAAAGUCUGAAAAGCAAUAUUAUACUACACGUAUGUACAGUACCUAGGGUCAGACAAUACAAAAAUCUGCAUGUUAAUAUUACCAUCUCCAGAUUUGGUGCUUGCAUCGGGACAGUAAUAUCAACCAGUUUUUAAUCUCGCUGCCAGUCAAUAUGUGCUACUUUUGGUGAAUUGAUUAACUCCUCUAGAGAAUUCUUUCAAACCUUAUAACAUCUGCCAACUGCUUUCAUGUGGGUGUUGGCCUGCUUGUAAACAAAACUGAAUAUGACUGCAGUUUGUAGUGUUGCUUGGUCUCGCUCACCAUGACAGCAGCAACUUUUGAGUUCCAAAGAAAACAUGUACAACAUUUUCUCUCUCUAAACAACUAACAAAAACUUAUUGGGUGGAACAUUUGAUAUUCAACGCAACUGAAUAUACCAAGUGUCUUCUCACAAACACCUUGGAUUCUGGCUUGAUGAGAAGCUGUGCUUCAGAAGGCAUUUCAAACAGGAGGAUCUGUAUGUUUUUAAACCUGGGCCAAUUUGCUGUGCAAAUGAUUCAUAACUACCAAAAGUGUUGGAACUGGUCCAGUAGAUGACCUCAGCUGGCAGCUGUAACAUGCAACAAUGGUUGCAGUAUACAGGUAAUACUUUUGGGCAAGUCUACAUCCAUUAUAAAGUUCUUGUUUUUGCCACUCACAGUCUUGAGUAUGGUAGUCUAAGUUUCUGACAAUAAGGGAGCAGAAAGCUUCCUACAGAGUUUGACCAUUUUAAUUUAAGAGUAAGAUCCUUUUUGUAACCAGAAACACUAGUUGUGCUCAAAAAGUCUUACCCUAAAAUCUUGGGGAGGGUGAGUUGUUACAGUUGUUGCCUCAUCUUGGUUGUCAAAAUCAGCCACAUUCAGCCAUGACUGAAAAUUAAAUCUUGCCGGCUGUUCCUGUAGGUAAAUUAGAACUCCUCUCUCCAGUUCUGACUCUCGUUUCCACCAACUUACAUCUCGCGAGAUUUCAGAGCGAAAACUUCUUGAGCAAGACUUGUGUUUCUGGUAACAGAAAAGUGCUAUUAGGGGGUGCUGUUUAGCUCAGUGGGUAGAGCAGGCGUCCAAUGUACAGAGGCCUUGUCCUCGCUGCAGCGGCCCUGGAUUCGAGUCCCUGCUUGGGGCCCUUUGCUGCGUGGCACUCCCCUCUCUCUCAACCUUUUCCUGUCAUGUCUUCAGCUGUUCUGUCAAUAAAGCCAAAAGACCAGAAAAAAUAUACUUUAGAAAAGUGCUAUUAGUUUCGCCCCAGAGGACUGAUGUUACAGCCACCGCAGUCAUGUUAAGACUGAAGCUCUAACAAUCUACAAGACAAAUGACAAAACUUUUGGUAAUUAUGAAUAAUUUACAGACAUUUUGGGUGCUCAUGAAAAAGAGUGUAAACUGCUGUCAUUGGAUCAUGGCCGUUGAACUGUAUUACAUAAAGACUGUCUCCAUAUUGAGGGAUCAAAUAUUUAAGAUGUGAUGUUUGUUUUAUAAGGUCAAAUCUUAGAUUACAUUACUUUUUCCCUCUCUCCCAAUUCCCUUCCUUCUUUAUUGAGGCUUGUCCCUGCUUUGUCUCCACCCUCCUCAACAAAUCGAUGACGUCCAGAGCUCAUCAUGAGCAUAAUUAGAUCCCUAAACCUAAGGCUUUUAUGGUCAACAUAAUAAUGGUUAAGCCUUUCUUGAUCCUUGUCCAGCUACAGGGCAAGCGACCCUCAGCUAGUCAACCCUCACCUCGUUACAUACAACCAAAACAGUGACAACAAGGCAACAGUGUCCUGGAGGUGUCCCCAGAUUUGAUGCCAGAUUUUAUCCCAGAUUGUGAAAGAAGUUUUUUCAGAAAGCCAGAGCAUGUAACUGCCAUCUGGUUUGCUUUAGUUGUGACAAUUACCUGCCACAGCUCUCACGAGAGGCUUGCUGCUUGUCUCCCAGCUUCCAUAAAUCAAAAGGCAAACAAGUAAUGACGCUAUCUCUCCCCAAUUGCCGGCAAAUGGAUGCACCCGUCAGUGCUGCCGUCAAGACUUGCGUUAGUGGUCAUGUGAUAACAGGGACAUCACGCCCUCCAUUGUUUUCUCACCAAGUGUCGCUGCUCAAAACUUGGAGAACAUGUUUGAGAAUUUGGACCAGGAGUGUGGAAUCAAUUUCGCCCUAAGCUCAAAUUUGUCUGCCAAGCCCCUUGGCCUUGGCUCUGUGUGAGACUGGAGAAAGAGUAACAACUACUGAGGGACAGCAGGCUACACCCAGAAAACAGGGUGUCACCAACCAAGCUGCUUUGUUGCUGCUUAUUCAUCAUGUCUCGCUGAUGUUUUCCUCCCUCUUUUCAUUAUGAAAAUAAACUAUGCGCCAUCUCUUUCAUUUGACUUUUCUAAACUAGCAAUUUGUGAACAAUAAUUUGACCUUCCCCCUUUUUUCUCUCAUUUUUCAGCUGCCCUUCGUUCUGUAGAUGUUCUGUGGCCCAAACUACCUGAGGGGUGUUUGCAGAGGGUUAAUAGAGUUAUGUUGUCUCUCAUCGUCUUCACCUCCUCACCUCUUCCUUUACCUCUGCUACCAGCUUUAGGUCCUGAGGUCAUCACAGUGUGUCUUCACACUGACAGUAAUGAACCCACGGAGAAUUUUCAGGGUCUUUAUCUGACCAUUCUACCUUUGACUUGUGGACCUUCAUGGUGUCUGUUAUGAUGCUGAUGAUACCUACAUGUCGGCUGAAGUCAACGGGCAGCCGCCAGGAUAAUCCCACAACACGUGCUCGCUGGUUUAGUAAUCCCCACAGGAAUGUCACACUCUCUCCUCUAUACAUCCCAUCAAUACAACAUAAAAGGGAAGUCCAGAUCAGUUUCUAAGAAUACACAACAGAUGAGCACAUGGCAAAGUGUAAUGGAGGAGAGCAAAAAGUGUGAAAGAUUGGGAGACUGUUCUGAGAAUUUCACCCACUGGUGUGUUUAUAUAUCAUAUAUUUUUUUUAAAGACGUUCCAAAUGUCUUCAUUUUAUUUGAUUUCAUUUGAAAUAAAUUAGAUUGAGAAGGUAUUGAAAAUACAGGAAAGAUACAUUCAUAUUUUGCUAUAUGCAAUAUUGUAAAUGUUUUUGUUUUGGGGGUAAAUAAACUUUGUGAAUUGUCUCACAAGAUGUUAAUUUCUACCUGACUUAAAUAAACAUUUUUUUUGCAAUAUUUUUGCCUUUUCAGUUUUUUCUGAAUCACAUGUGAUUGCCCAAGAUACAAGCAUCCAUUUUGUGAACUAGAGUAAACAGAUGGAUAAGGUUGAUGUGUCAUUGAAAAGUUUAUCUCUCACAGUCUAAUUAGUCUUUAAAACACCCAAUUACUUUUCAUACUAUAUCUACUAAUUGCUAUUUACUAAGUUGUUAAGUGUUUGAAAAUCAAACCUUGAA